GCGCUGGCUUUCUCCAACCGAUGUACAUAUGUAGCAAUACUUUCCCGGAGUUUGGCAUAGGGAACAAGUAUUUAGCUUUCACCGAUUUAUUUUACAAAACACUAUGGACUUACUUUCCUUCAUUCGGUGCCUACCCACCAUAUGUCUCUCGACGUUAUGAAACUUAAAUUCACAUAAUUCACUAAAUCUUCUUUUUAAGAUGACAUCCGUUCUACAUUACCGUUAUGUUCGGGAAGUGAACCUUUCUGUUCCUGAAACAUCGUCCUUCAUACAUUUGGCAUCAACUCAGGAACCUAAUCAAAUACGAGGAAAAGUUCAAAUUCAAAAUACCUACCCGAUUGAAAAUUAUUAUGGAUUAGUUAUCGAAUUGUGUGGUUUAGUAAAAUUCACCACUGGACCGAGGAACAUUGAACAUAUCUUUGGAGUUGACAAGAAUUCAAGUACAGUGUUAAAAUCUCAAGUUUACUGUCAGAUUCUUGGAUGUGCCGAAGCACUUGAGAAAGGAACACUACCCUCAAAAUUGAAGAGCGUUGUCCUCCCCGGAUCUCAUAUUAUCGAAUUUCAGUUAAUUCUCCCUAAAAAUCGUCCUUUACCACCUUCCAUGAGUGGAAAAUAUGUGGAGGUGACUUACAACAUUAUUUUGUACAAGAGAACCCAAGAGAACGGUUACAAACCUAUGGGCGAUAGGUUUAAAAAGUUGAUCAAUUUCCACGGUUUCAAUCCACUUCAAACAGUACAACCAUUAUCCUCGAUGUUAUGGGAAAAUCCAGUUGUUCAACCUUUCUCCGGAUGUGGGAUAUCGGGUGCAUUACAAAUUCCAAAAACUAAUUACUUGAAACAGGAAGAAAUUGCAUUUCAUGUUCAAAUUGAGAAAGACGGCACAAAUGUCUCCCAGGUUCUGGCUAAAUGCGUCAAAGUGUCUCUGUUAAAGACAGUAAUUGCAAAUUACUCGACAGAAGUGGAAGAGUUGGACAGUUUCAUUACUAAUAAAGAUUAUUUCAAUGAGGGAAACAAUAACGUUUGUGUAAAAGGAGUAUUUACAAGUAAAAGGGAUCACCCAUCGUACAAAGAUUUGACAAUCGGUGGGUUGCUGAUCAUCCAUAAUAUUAAGGUUGAAGUUACGACGGAUGAAGGGACAACUGGAGGAUUGUUAGAAUUAUUUAUUGGGACAACGAUGACGAACACCGAAUAAGAAGAAGCUUGUUGGAAAUACUUCACGUCGGAACACAGAAACUCAAGAGUGUGAAUGAUAUUUGACUUAACGCAUAAACUUAAUUCUUCUGAACUCAAACAGUCCAGAAUUUUACAAAAAUCAUACAUUUCCAACUAAAUUAAAUGUUAUAAUAGUCUAAUUUAAAACUUAAACAUAAACUAUUAUCCAAACAUGCGAGGUAGACUUCGAAUCUUCGUUUUUCCAGCCUAUAUAAUUGAAGAGCUUCUCUGUAUCCUUACCUCCGACCUCGCCAUUAAAUAAGCUAAUAUAUUAAUUUGGAAUAGUUGGAAUAUCCAUUAAUAACUUUUUUAUGGGGAAUUAUGAUGCAUAGAAACGCAAGGACAUUACUGGUGUUGAGAGUGGUCACAUCAUUUGAGAAAAUAAAUGCAUGAACAGUUGACAAUGUAUUAUGUACGACAUAUGUACAUACAUAUUAAUCUAUUCCCUCGGCGCUGGUCGCUUAGCUUUUUCUGAAUGAUGAUGUAAAAUGAUAAUAAUGCUUACUCUGCGAAUAUAAUUUACAUAUAUUCCAUUGAAUAAAAUACUAUAUUUAUUUAUGCAUAUGUGCAUAGACUUGAAUGUCCAUGUUUAUUGUAAACACAAAUUUUAACCAGGAUAUAUCUGUAGUAAAGCUAUUUCCAUACAAUAGGUGUACAUGCAAUACAGAAAUGAAGGGUCGGGUCUUGUGAAAGAAUAUUUCAUAUUUCAUAUUAUUUUUCUACGUUUGUCUUGAUAAUAAAUGGCAGAUAGCAUUCGAAAUAUUGUCAAAUAAAAUAAAAAUUUUCCUCGUUUUAAACCAAAACUUCCGUGUAAUUCAGGUAAUAAUAGUUAGCAUAAAUAUUAUUAGGGAAUUAAAAAUGACAUUGAUAAGUAGUGAUACAUUUAUCUACUACGAUAAAUAGUUGACAAUUAUUCAGUGGGAGAAUACAUUAAAUCGCAGAUUUAAAUUGAUGUAGUGGAUACAUAUGUAUGUACCUGGUGAACUUUAUUUGAACAGUUGCAACACACCAAUAUCAAUAUGUUGAGAUCUUUGUUAUUUAAAACAGAUCAAUUGAUACCUUUCAUCAAUGAUUUAUGUCUUUUGUGGCUGGCACGGGUCGUAAAGUUUAUUAUUCAUAAGUUGCAUAUAUAUUGAUCCGAUUAUGUCGAAUCCUCACAGAAUUCCAAAUUUUGUGGUAAAAAAAAGUUCUGCAAUAAAAACACUUGUCAUUCUGAUCGGUACAUAUUUAUUGGCGAGAAAUAAAACCUUCAACUUAAAUUUAGUUAUUUUUUCAAUAGUUGCAUUUAGUUCAGGCAUAGCUUUAAUAAAAUAAAUAAAGAUGAUGUUAGUAAGUCGACAUCCCGCGAGUCUACUAACGAUUACGUGUUGCAUCCUCGUAGGAGCGAAUGUACUGCUCCCGAGUUGUGAUGGGUUGAAAAAAGGCCAUCGAGCAAGGAAAUCUGUACCCUCGACGGCUCAACACGUUAACCGAACCUUGCUGGGCAAACGCCAGUCAUGGACAGGUCCCGGACCUCACUCAUUCGACUACGUACUCGGAGCCAACAGCUUUUACAAUACAGCAGCCGAUGUUGUCUUUGUUGACUAUGACAUGGAAGAAAGUGACAUCCGCAGAUUCCUAGGUGCAGGAAAAGUCGUAAUUUGUUAUGUAAAUGUGGGUGCAUGGGAAGAUUGGCGAUCAGAUGCGGAAUUAUUUCCAGAGUCUGUGCUCGGAAAUGAUUACGAUGGUUGGCCAGGCGAGAGGUGGUUGGACAUUCGAAACACCGACGUGAUUCUUCCCCUCAUGAGAAACCGAUACAGAAUUGCGGCAGCGAAAGGAUGUCAAGGAAUUGAUCCCGAUAACAUGAACGGCUGGUCGGUUGAUACCGGAUUUCCUAUUUCGUAUGAAAAUCAGCUCGUGUAUAAUCGAUACGUCUCUGCGGAAGCCAGAGUUUUGGGAAUGUUGGCUGGGCUGAAGAAUGACAACGAGCAGGCAUCGGAUCUCAUUGACGCGGUGGAUUUCGCUGUGUUGGAGCAAUGUGCGGCAUAUGAUGAGUGCUUCUACUUUGACGGGUUUAUAUCCAGUGGCAAACCGGUAUUCGCUGUCGAGUAUACGGACUCAUAUGACGAAACUUCAUUUCGAAGGGAGGUCUGCCCUUUGGUUGAGGAAACUAAAAUGUCUUUCAUUCUGAAGAACUACAAUCUACAUUCCGAUUAUAUUUACUCUUGUCUUCUCUAAUUUGAUUGCACAAAUAUAUGUGCUACAUAUUAGAAUAACGAACUACCUGAUGAAUUUAUUGCAUAUUAAAAAUUAUUUGCUGAUUUGACGUUAA